AGUGAACGCUGGCGGUAGGCCUAACACAUGCAAGUCGAACGGCAGCACAGUAAGAGCUUGCUCUUACGGGUGGCGAGUGGCGGACGGGUGAGAAAUACAUCGGAAUCUACUUUUUCGUGGGGGAUAACGUAGGGAAACUUACGCUAAUACCGCAUACGACCUACGGGUGAAAGCAGGGGAUCUUCGGACCUUGCGCGAUUGAAUGAGCCGAUGUCGGAUUAGCUAGUUGGCGGGGUAAAGGCCCACCAAGGCGACGAUCCGUAGCUGGUCUGAGAGGAUGAUCAGCCACACUGGAACUGAGACACGGUCCAGACUCCUACGGGAGGCAGCAGUGGGGAAUAUUGGACAAUGGGCGCAAGCCUGAUCCAGCCAUACCGCGUGGGUGAAGAAGGCCUUCGAGUUGUAAAGCCCUUUUGUUGGGAAAGAAAAGCAGCAGGUUAAUACCCCGCUGUUCUGACGGUACCCAAAGAAUAAGCACCGGCUAACUUCGUG
rnacentral:rRNA from 1 species